AUCAAUUGACACGCGUGCCAUGAGAAGACUCCUGGAAACCUAAUCGGCCAACGGCGGCAGCGUCUUCCUCUCCAUCGGCGAAUGGCGGCGGCAAUGUCUUCCUCAAACGGGCUCAUCGUCGGUAUUUCUUCGCCUCGUCGUAGCCGUCUUCCCGCUUCCUCCAUGCGCCGGCGUUUUCCCUUCUCCUCCCGACGUCGGCGUCUUCUUUCUGUGUCAUCCUUUCACCCCCGCGGCCAGCGUCUUCUCCCCCUUCGCUUCGCCGCAGCCGCCGCAGCAACCCUCUUCCGUACCUCCUCCUCCCUCUCCUUCUCCUCGGAUCCUUCAUCCUUGCCCCCCUCCGAACUGACAGCAACCCCCUCUUCAUCCUCCUCCUUCUACCAUGUUUGAUGAAGAUACAUUUGAUAUGAUUUUCUAAUUGCUGCGGGGAUAUAGUGUGCUUCACAGUUUCUAAAGCUCCUAACUACAAUAGAGAAAUAGUGGAAGGUAGUGUCAGUGCGCAUGUGUCACAUCAAGCCAUUGUUUCAGUGGUGUAGAAUUGCAUGGAUGGAAGUGUGAUAAUAAGUAAAUUAUCCAAGGUGGAUUAACAUGAGUGGUAGAGGAACGUCGUCGGAUCAGAUGAUUAGUUGAAAGUUUUCAACUUCCUUCUGGUUGGAAGCAGAUACAGAAAACAUAUUAGUUUUGGUGCCCUCGAUUUGAGGUAGAAGAGGAAUCUGAACAUAGAGCAUCCAGCAAUUAGACUACUUUUUCUUGUAUUUUUCUGCAAACAGUACGUGAUACUGCAUCAAAAGAUCAUGUUUUCGGUGCAAAAGAGGCUCUUUCGCUGUCAUCUACCAAGUAACAAGUCCACUAUCCAUCUUUCCUCCUAUCAACUUUGCAGUCUGUUUAACUUCUCCACUGCUAAAGACCAAAGAUCAGAGCAUAGAUCCAACUUUAUAGUGGUUGACUCCCUUCAAUCAUGUGAACUUUCCUCGGAGAAGGCUGCAAAAACAGCCAAGUAUCACCCCUGUCACAAAAGUUCUUUGAGUCUUUCCAUUGAGUUCUUUAAGCAGAGCGGUUGGAGUGAUGCACAAGUCAUGAAACUUAUCCAGAGGUCACCGCAGUUGCUGCGUACUAAGGUAGAGACUGUCCUGAAGCCCAGAAUGAGAUCUUUGAAGGACAUGGGAUUUUCUGACACUGAAAUAGUUCAGCUGGUUUCUUCAUGUCCAUCUGUACUACUUAUAUGUGAUAUCCAACCAAAGAUCGACUUCUGGAGGUCACUACUUGGUUCAAAUGAGAGGUUACUGAAAGCCUCUAAGAGGAACUUGUUUCUACUUUCUUCUAGCUUGGCCCGGAAGAUAGAACCUAAUAUAUCUCUCUUAAGGGAAUGUGGCAUCAGUGACAAAUGCAUCGCGAAUACGGUGGUGACAGGGCCAGCCAUUUUGGGUCGAUCAAACAAAUGUAUGAAGGAAGCUAUCAAAUAUGUCGAGGAGUUGGGUGUGCCAUGUAACUGUAGAAUGUUCCCUUAUGCACUUAGAAUAGUCGCUAGCAUGAGCCGAUCCAGGUUUGAUGCUACCUUUGCAACCCUGAUGAACUUUGGGUUCUCCCAGUCAGACGUCAUUGAUGUAUUCAGGAAGCAACCAACCGUUUGGGUUUUCUCAAAGAAGAACAUUUGUGACAAGAUGACUUUCCUGAUGAAGGAAGCUGGUUGUGAGCUGACAUAUAUCAUUUCCCAUCCUGCAAUUCUUAUAUACAGCUUGGAGAAGAGGUUGAAACCUCGAUAUGAAAUUCUGAAUUUUCUUGAGCAGAAUAAAUUGCUGGAUAAAGUAAAUGGCCUGAUAACCAUGAUAAUGCUAUCGGAAAAGAAGUUCCGAAAUAAAUUUCUUUUCCUGCUUCGCGAGGAGAAAUAUAUUGCUCUAUAUGAUUCCUAUGUUGCUGCUGUGCAUGGAAAGCGCCAUGUUGUUGUGGAAAAUUAGGAUUGCAAGUGCUUCCUUUGACAAAGUGUGAACCUAUUGCAUACUGACUGUAUUAUUUAAUCAUGUAAAAUUUGUGACAAUUUAAAUUCUCUAAGAGUAACUUCUUACGGUAGAACGUCCAUGUUGAUUUUGA